UUUUCCGGUGAGCCAAAUAGACUAUAUCAAGGAACAAGAUUUGGUAGAUUAUAAUUUUUAAUAUAUUUAAAUGGAAGAGAUGGUUGAAGAAAAAGAAGAUGAAGGGAAUGUUUGAAGAAAGAGAUGAAUGACGCCUGAGAAAGAAAAAGAUGAAGGGGCACGAAUACUGUGAUGAAGGCCGCCGGAAGAAGAUGAAGGGGUAGGAACUAUAAUUUUG
rnacentral:lncRNA from 1 species